rnacentral:rRNA from 1 species
CCAUGAGUAAAGUGGCGUACGGGUGAGUAACACGUGGAUAAUCUACCUCUUAGUGGGGAAUAACUUUGGGAAACCGAAGCUAAUACCGCAUAAGCCUGGAAAGGGAAAGCCGAAAGGCGCUGAGAGAGGAGUCCGCGGCCGAUUAGCUAGUUGGCAGGGUAAAAGCCUACCAAGGCAUUGAUCGGUAGCCGGCCUGAGAGGGCACACGGCCACACUGGCACUGAAACACGGGCCAG